GACGAACGCUGGCGGCGUGCUUAACACAUGCAAGUCGAGCGGUAAGGCCCUUUCGGGGGUACACGAGCGGCGAACGGGUGAGUAACACGUGGGUGACCUGCCCUCAGCUCUGGGAUAAGCCUGGGAAACUGGGUCUAAUACCGGAUAUGACUCCAUGACGCAUGUUGUGGGGUGGAAAGCCUUGUGCGGCUGAGGAUGGGCCCGCGGCCUAUCAGCUUGUUGGUGGGGUGAUGGCCUACCAAGGCGACGACGGGUAGCCGGCCUGAGAGGGCGACCGGCCACACUGGGACUGAGACACGGCCCAGACUCCUACGGGAGGCAGCAGGUGGGGAAUCUUGCGCAAUGGGCGAAAGCCUGACGCAGCGACGCCGCGUGAGGGAUGACGGCCU
rnacentral:rRNA from 1 species